rnacentral:rRNA from 1 species
UAGGGAAUCUUCCGCAAUGGACGCAAGUCUGACGGAGCAACGCCGCGUGAGUGAAGAAGGAUUUCGGUUCGUAAAACUCUGUUGUUAGAGAAGAACAGCGCAUAGAGUAACUGUUAUGCGUGUGACGGUAUCUAACCAGAAAGCCACGGCUAACUACGUGCCAGCAGCCGCGGUAAUACGUAGGUGGCAAGCGUUGUCCGGAUUUAUUGGGCGUAAAGCGAGCGCAGGCGGUCAAUUAAGUCUGAUGUGAAAGCCCCCGGCUCAACCGGGGAGGGUCAUUGGAAACUGGGUGAGUUGAGUGCAGAAGAGGGGAGUGGAAUUCCAUGUGUAGCGGUGAAAUGGGUAGAUAUAUGGAGGAAAACCAGUGGCGAAGGCGACUCUGUGGUCUGUAGCUGACGCUGAGGUUCGAAAGCGUGGGUAGCAAACAGG